UACAGAGGGGGCAAGCGUUGUUCGGAAUUACUGGGCGUAAAGGGCGCGUAGGCGGCCCCGCUAAGUCGAACGUGAAAUCCCCGGGCUCAACCCGGGAACUGCGUCCGAUACUGGUGGGCUUGAAUCCGGGAGAGGGAUGCGGAAUUCCAGGUGUAGCGGUGAAAUGCGUAGAUAUCUGGAGGAACACCGGUGGCGAAGGCGGCAUCCUGGACCGGCAUUGACGCUGAGGCACGAAAGCUAGGUGAGCAAACGGG
rnacentral:rRNA from 1 species